rnacentral:rRNA from 1 species
AGGGUUCGAUUAUGGCUCAGGAUGAACGCUAGCGGCAGGCUUAACACAUGCAAGUAGAACGGUAACAGUCCUUCGGGAGCUGACGAGUUGCGAACGGGUGCGUAACGCGUAUGCAACCUACCUAUAACAGAGGGAUAGCCCAUAGAAAUGUGGAUUAAUACCUCAUAACAUCUUAAGAUGGCAUCAUCUUGGUCUUAAAGCUUCGGCGGUUUGGGAUAGGCAUGCGUUCUAUUAGUUAGUUGGUAAGGUAACGGCUUACCAAGACCACGAUAGAUAGGGGGCCUGAGAGGGUUAUCCCCCACACUGGUACUGAGACACGGACCAGACUCCUACGGGAGGCAGCAGUGAGGAAUAUUCCACAAUGGACGAAAGUCUGAUGGAGCCAUGCCGCGUGCAGGAUGAAUGCCCUAUGGGUUGUAAACUGCUUUUAUAUAGGAAGAACAUUUUCUACGUGUAGAGAACUGACGGUACUAUAAGAAUAAGGACCGGCUAACUCCGUGCCAGCAGCCGCGGUAAUACGGAGGGUCCAAGCGUUAUCCGGAUUUAUUGGGUUUAAAGGGUCCGUAGGCGGGAAAAUAAGUCAGUGGUGAAAGCCUACAGCUCAACUGUAGAACUGCCAUUGAAACUGUUUUUCUUGAAUUUAGAUGAAGUGGGCGGAAUAUAUCAUGUAGCGGUGAAAUGCAUAGAUAUGAUAUAGAACACCGAUUGCGAAGGCAGCUCACUAAGUUUAUAUUGACGCUGAUGGACGAAAGCGUGGGUAGCGAACAGGAUUAGAUACCCUGGUAGUCCACGCCGUAAACGAUGUAUACUCGAUGUUCGCGAUAUAGUGUGAGCGUCCAAGAGAAAUUAUUAAGUAUACCACCUGGGGAGUACGAUCGCAAGGUUGAAACUCAAAGGAAUUGACGGGGGCCCGCACAAGCGGUGGAGCAUGUGGUUUAAUUCGAUCAUACGCGAGGAACCUUACCUGGGCUUAAAUGUAGAACGACCGGCUGGGAAACCAGCCUUUCUUCGGACGGUCUGCAAGGUGCUGCAUGGCUGUCGUCAGCUCGUGCUGUGAGGUGUCGGGUUAAGUCCCAUAACGAGCGCAACCCCUAUCUUUAGUUGCCAGCGAGUAAUGUCGGGGACUCUAGAGAAACUGCCCGUGCAAGCGGAGAGGAAGGUGGGGACGAUGUCAGGUCAUCACGGCCCUUACGUCCUGGGCUACACACGUGCUACAAUGGCGCAUACAAAGGGCAGCUACCUGGUGACAGGAUGCUAAUCUCUAAAGUGCGUCUCAGUUCGGAUCGAAGUCUGCAACUCGACUUCGUGAAGCUGGAAUCGCUAGUAAUCGGAUAUCAGCCAUGAUCCGGUGAAUACGUUCCCGGGCCUUGUACACACCGCCCGUCAAGCCAUGGAAGCUGGGGGCGCCUGAAGUCGGUCACCGUAAGGAGCCGCCUAGGGUAAAACUAGUAACUGGGGCUAAGUCGUAACAAGGUAGCC